rnacentral:rRNA from 1 species
AGAAUCUGCCUUGGGGUCGGGGACAACCACUGGAAACGGUGGCUAAUACCGGAUAAGCCUUUGGGUAAAAGAUUUAUUGCCCCAAGAGGAGCUCGCGUCUGAUUAGCUAGUUGGUGAGGUAAAAGCUCACCAAGGCAGCGAUCAGUAGCUGGUCUGAGAGGACGAUCAGCCACACUGGGACUGAGACACGGCCCAGACUCCUACGGGAGGCAGCAGUGGGGAAUUUUCCGCAAUGGGCGAAAGCCUGACGGAGCAAGACCGCGUGAGGGAGGAAGGCUCUUGGGUUGUAAACCUCUUUUCUCAGGGAAGAAGCUCUGACGGUACCUGAGGAAUCAGCCUCGGCUAACUCCGUGCCAGCAGCCGCGGUAAUACGGAGGAGGCAAGCGUUAUCCGGAAUUAUUGGGCGUAAAGCGUCCGCAGGUGGCGAUUCAAGUCUGCUGUCAAAGCACGGGGCUUAACUCCGUUAAGGCAGUGGAAACUGAAUAGCUAGAGUGCCGUAGGGGUAGAGGGAAUUCCCGGUGUAGCGGUGAAAUGCGUAGAGAUCGGGAAGAACAUCGGUGGCGAAAGCGCUCUACUGGACGGCAACUGACACUCAGGGACGAAAGCUAGGGGAGCGAAUGGGAUUAGAUACCCCAGUAGUCCUAGCUGUAAACGAUGGAUACUAGGUGUAGCUUGUAUCGACCCGAGCUGUGCCGAAGCUAACGCGUUAAGUAUCCCGCCUGGGGAGUACGCACGCAAGUGUGAAACUCAAAGGAAUUGACGGGGGUCCGCACAAGCGGUGGAGUAUGUAGUUUAAUUCGAUGCAACGCGAAGAACCUUACCAGGGCUUGACAUGUCGAGAAUCUCGGUGAAAGAUGGGAGUGCCUUCGGGAGCCGGAACACAGGUGGUGCAUGGCUGUCGUCAGCUCUUGUCGUGAGAUGUUGGAGUUAAGUCCCGCAACGAGCGCAACCCUAGUACUUUAGUUGCCAGCAUUAAGUUGGGCACUAUAGAGAGACUACCGGUGACAAA